UACAGGGGGGGCAAGCGUUGUUCGGAAUUACUGGGCGUAAAGGGUUCGUAGGUGGCUUACUAAGUCAAACGUGAAAUCCCUCAGCUUAACUGGGGAACUGCGUCUGAUACUGGAAAGCUUGAGUGCAGGAGAGGAACGCGGAAUUCCAGGUGUAGCGGUGAAAUGCGUAGAUAUCUGGAGGAACACCGGUGGCGAAGGCGGCGUUCUGGACUGCAACUGACACUGAUGAACGAAAGCCAGGGGAGCAAACGGG
rnacentral:rRNA from 1 species